CAGUAGCCGCGGGAAAACGUAGGUGGCAAGCGUUGUCCGGAAUUAUUGGGCGUAAAGGGCUCGCAGGCGGUUUCUUAAGUCUGAUGUGAAAGCCCCCGGCCCAACCGGGGAGGGUCAUUGGAAACUGGGAAACUUGAGUGCAGAAGAGGAGAGUGGAAUUCCACGUGUAGCGGUGAAAUGCGUAGAGAUGUGGAGGAACACCAGUGGCGAAGGCGACUCUCUGGUCUGUAACUGACGCUGAGGAGCGAAAGCGUGGGGAGCGAACAGGAUUAGAUACCCCCGUAGUCCCUGUCUCUUAUAC
rnacentral:rRNA from 1 species